UUGGUCUCUCAGUGGGGAGAAGCAGAAGAGAGAAGGUUGAAAAAGACUUUCUCCUGAGGGUUACUCACUUUUUCCUGUCUGUGACUGGAAAUCAUCCCCCCCAAAAUUUCCAAAUUGAAAAAAAAAAGACUAUUGAAGAGAAACCUGAGAAAGGCAUUUUGAAAUCUCUGUCCGACUUUACUUCAGCUCCUGUUGACUUUACUUCAGCUCCUGUUGCCCUGAGUCUGAACUGUGGCCAAGGGGCCAAACCCAGGAUGGGAGUGCUAAGUAAAAGAAAAAAAAAACCCACCAGGAUAUGAAAAUGGGAAAUAAAUAAUUAUCACUCAAAA